GACGAAUGCUGGCGGCGUGCUUAACACAUGCAAGUCGAACGGAAAGGCCCUGCUUUUGUGGGGUGCUCGAGUGGCGAACGGGUGAGUAACACGUGAGUAACCUGCCCUUGACUUUGGGAUAACUUCAGGAAACUGGGGCUAAUAUCGGAUAGGAGCUCCUGCUGCAGGGUGGGGGUUGGAAAGUUUCGGCGGUUGGGGAUGGACUCGCGGCUUAUCAGCUUGUUGGUGGGGGAGUGGCUUACCAAGGCUUUGACGGGUAGCCGGCCUGAGAGGGGGACCGGCCACAUUGGGACUGAGAUACGGCCCAGACUCCUACGGGAGGCAGCAGUGGGGAAUAUUGCACAAUGGGAGGAAGCCUGAUGCAGCAACGCCGCGUGCGGGAUGACGGCCUUCGGGUUGUAAACCGCUUUCGCCUGUGACGAAGCGUGAGUGACGGUAAUGGGUAAAGAAGCACCGGCUAACUACGUG
rnacentral:rRNA from 1 species